rnacentral:rRNA from 1 species
UACGGGGGGGGGCAAGCGUUGUUCGGAAUUACUGGCGUAAAGCGUGCGCAGGCGGUGAUGUAAGACAGUUGUGAAAUCCCCGGGCUCAACCUGGGAAUUGCAUCUGUGGCUGCAUCGCUAGAGUACGGUAGAGGGGGGAUGGAAUUCCGGCGUGUAGCAGUGAAAUGCGUAGAUAAUGCGGAGGAACACCGAUGGCGAAGGACAAUCCCCUGGACCUGUACUCGAC